UGUGCAUUUCUCGUCUUCUCUGUCAGACUUGGCAGAGCCCUAUCCCCUUUUAACCGACGCUGCCUGUGCCGGGAGCGAUGGGACCUGGUAGGGUCAGAGGGUGAUUAAGAGCACCCCUUGCUCCAGGACUCCCAGGGAAACUGCACGGGUGAUGAGGUUCAGUAUAGGUGCCCCACAGUGCCACGAGCCCACGCCCGGGGUCCCAGCUACUUAGAGGCCGAGGCAGGAAGGUCUCAACUUCGAGGUCAGCCUGGGUGAUAUAAAGAGACCCUGUUUCAAAAUAAAAAGGACUGAGGAGGUAGCUCAGUGACACACACAAAACUUAGGGAAGCACAGCUGAGAACAAGAUUUUUUUUUUUUUUCUGGAGGAGUUGGGAAGAUAGCAAAAACGACAUUUAGGCUAGACCUUGAUUUGAGUAGCAGUUCAGAUAAGGGUAAAUGUGGAUUUGUUUGUGGUUUUUGUUUUGUUUUGGGGUUUUGCUGUUUUUUUUUUUUGUUUGUUUGUUUGUUUUUUGUUGUUGUUGCUUUGCCUGGGACGGAAUCCAGAGCCUGUGGCAUGCUAUGGAGUGCUCUACCACUGAGAUACAUUCCCAGCCCAAGGAUAGGUCUUUAUUCAACAUUGUAUCACACAAGGUGAGGCAAGGCAAUUCUAAUAGAAGCCUAAAAUUAUCAUGCUUACCCAGGGCUCCCAGGAUCUGCUACUGGCCAGUAACCCCCUUCUUCCCGCUGUCUGGACUGUUACUCUUACCUGAGUGGUGCUCCAUGCUGUAGACCUUGAUCUUAUUCACAGAGGGACACAAACACAGCCACGCUGGUGGAGGCACACAGCUUGUUCCAGGUUGGUCUUGAAUGGCUUAGGCGCUGUGCCCCGUGGAGGGCAGGGCCUGUCUGCAUGGGAAAGCCCUCCUCAGGUGUGGUGCAGAUGGCGCUCUCCUGGGCAGGCAUUCAUCUUCCUCUUCUUUGCCCCUUGCAGUCCUGGGAUUUAGCCCCAGGCUUCACAGGUGCUGGCAAUGCCCACCACAGAGCUGCAGCCCAGCCGUGUCUCCCUGUGGUCUGUUCUCAGUGUUCUCUCAAACCUCAGGUGUGUGAUUCCUUCCAUGGGCUCUGAACAUGGAGACGAGCCAACUGGCUGCUUCUGGUAAGACCUCCUGAAGUCACCCUUCCACGGUGCUUUUACUCUAACCACAUCGACGUCCAACCUGGAAGUUCAAGAAGCAGGUGACAGGGUGUGCUUGUCGGUGGUGACCUGCCUCUGAAACUUGACUGACAGCAACUGAUCUCUGGUGAUAUGAUGGCACUGCUGCAGCACAUGCUCUGUGCUUGUUAGUGAAGAAAGAGGCAGUACAAUGGAAGUUGGAAGCCACAGGUCAUCUGGUCCACGCGGCUGGGACUUCGAACUGCGGUAACAAGCCCAGACUCCCCUCAGAGGACAGCGGCUGGUGGGCCUCUGAAGAAGAAGCUGCCUGAGGAAGAUACCUGGAGGCCUCACUCGGGUGUGGAGUCCGAGGCCAUCACUGAAGGUCAGGUGCCCAGAGGAAGCCAGUGCUGGGAGUCCUGUGGGAAAGAAUGACCGAGGACUACCUCGGGGACUGACUAGCUGGAGGGCAGAGAGCAGAGGGCCAGUGUGAAAGUCCUUGUGGAGUGUCUAGUGGGGCUGAUGGGGACGGGGCCCCCAGGGGCCUCACAGACACGCGGCAGGGUUUUGGCCAGCUUUGCCCUGAGCCUGGGCUCUUCCCACCUCCCUCACCCCUCAGCACAGCGGAGCUCAUCUCCGAGGAGUGGAGUCUGUGGUGAACUCUCUCCUCUCCACAUUUCCUUUGGGGUGGUUUCUAGUGCUUUCUCAUCAGAUUUGCUAAUAUACUAUUACUUUUGGGGGAAGCAGGGAUUGGGCCUGAUGUGGUGGUGCACUCCUGCAAUCCCAAUGGUUCAGGAGGCUGAGGCAGAAGGAUCACACUUUCAAAGCCACCCUUAGGAACUUAGUGAGACCCCAAGAUGCUUAACAAGACCUGCCGAGUUUCUCGCGACUAAAAUACUCAGGGGUCACUCCAGGGGAGUUGGGCUAACUGGGCUGUGCAAAAUAACCACACAAGAGACAGAGAUACCUUUUUCUUUUGGGAGUGCUGUGACGGCUCCUCUGAUUUUAGGGUCCGAAGAGAGAGAGAGAGAGCGAGCACGUGCUGACCCCUUUUAUUGAGGAGAAGCUAUUCAAAUGAGGCAAGGGGUCAGGUCAGGGGGCUGAGUCCAGCUUUAUGAUGUCUGCUGUCAGCAGGUUGACUGACAUCUAGGUAGGCCACACCCAAGGGCACAGUAAGAGAAAGGAACACACAAAAGGUGUUUCCAUGGAAGAUUCUAUCCCAAACAGGGCAAGGGGUAAUAUUACAAAGGAACAGGUGAGUGUAACUCCAUCCAUGGGGCUGUAGGAAGCCACACCCAUGCACGAGACACCAUCCCUGGAACCCAAGAAGCACUGGCUUCCUCUGAGCACCUGUCCUUCAGUGAUGGCCUCAGACUCCACACCCAGCCAGGGAGUGUGACUCAGUCAUGUGCAAGGUUGGUCUCCCACAAAGACCCUUUCUCAAAAAAUGAAAAGGCCUGGGGAUGUGCCUCAAUGGUUAAUCACCUCUGGGUUCAAUCCCAGGUAGCAAAAAAAAAAAAAAAAAAAAAAUAUAUUAAGUAAGGAAUGAUGUUUGAGAAAUAAUUUUAUGAGUAAUUGAUUUCUUGGUAAACAUGUUAGGAUAACUUUCACUGCUUAUUGAAAUCUUGGAACUGUUGGAACUUAGCCAAUGAGACCCUGACUAAUAAGGAUCGCUGUAGGCAUUCAUAGGGCACUAUUUGAGCUAAUGCUACUUAGCCUUUGUUCCUGGCAGAGUAGAGUUGGUCACUUAAUCCUAUGUGUUGCUGCUGUGUGUUGUGAUGCCGUAUCACUCUGCACUACAGUUGUCUAGGUGUCUUCCCUGAGGUUCUGUGGCUCCUAAAAGGUUGAAAUGGUUUCUAAUUCAUCUUUAUACUCCCGAUACAUGCCUUCCAUGUGGUGAACCUUCAAACAUGUUAGAUGAGUCAAUGAAGGAGGAAUGGAGGGACAGAUCAGGUCCUCAUAUUUUUCUUGUUAUCUUUACUUAUCUGAGAACAUCUACUUAGGCUUUCUUCUAGGCUCUGAAACAAUUUUGUUUUGUGUUUUUUAUUUACAAAAAAUGUACUGAGAGGGGCUGGGGCUGUGGCUCAGUGGCAGAGCCUUGCCUGGCAUGUGUGAGGCACUGAGUUCGAUCCUCAGCAUUGCAUAUAAAUAAAUUUUAAAAAUAAAGGUACAUUAACAACUAAAAAUUAUUUUUAAAAAUGUUCUGAGAGCUGGGCAUGGUGGCACAUGCCUAUAAUACCAGCAACUCAGAAGACUGAGGCAGGAGGAUCACAAGUUCAAAGCCAGCCUUGGCAAUUUAGUGAGACCUUAAACAGUUUAACAAGACCCUUUCUCAAAACAAAAAAUAAAAAGGCUGGAGAUGUCAUUCAGUGGUUAAGCACUGCUGGAUUCAAUCCCCAGUACAAAUAACUAUACUGAUAUGGGAUAUCUUCGAAGAUGGAGUGAUUUUUUUUCUUUCUUCCUCCUGCUGGCUCAGGCUGACUCCCCUGAGCACUGGUUUUUCUUAGGAGAAGGAAAUAUACACACACGUGUGUGUGUGUGUGUGUGUGUGUGUGUGUGUGUGUGGUUGGUGUUACCUGCAUACACAGACUUUUUUCUUCCUUUUCUUUUUUUUUAAAUUGUACUAGAGAUCGAACUCAGGGUACUAUCUACCCUUAAGCUGUGUUCCCAAUCUUUUCUUCUUCUUCUUCUUCUUUUUUUUUUUUUUUUAUAAUUUUUGAGACAAGUUCUUACUAAGUUGCUGAGGCUAGCCUCACACUUGAGAUCCUCUAACUCAGCUUCCCAAGUCACUGGGAUUACAGGUGUGUGCCACCAUGCCUUGCUUUAUUUUUCCAGUUUUUUUUUUGGUGGGCGGGGGGAGUACCAGGGAUUGAACUCAGGGGCACUUGACCACUGAGCCACAUCCCCAGCCUUAUUUUUGUAUUUGAUUUAGAGACAGGGUCUCACUGAAUUGCUUAGCACCUUGCUUUUGCUGAGGCUGGCUUUGAACUCAUGAUCCUCCUGCCUCAGCCUCCUGAGCCACUGGGAUUAUAGGCAUGUACUAGUGUACCCACCUAUUUUUCCAAUUUUAAUGAUCAAAAUCUUCAUUUAGAAUUUAAAUUCCUUGAUAGCAAUAACAGAAGAAGAAAAGUAAUUUCAGAAAAGUUUGCAGAUAAGAUUAUUUCUAAUCUGUUUGUAUUUUGAGGAAAAAUAACAGCACACUGGAAAGAAGGAAGAAGUGACAGUGAGUCACUCGGAGCCCAAUUCCAGGAUUUCCAUCCCUCACACAUACCUGGGGUUACAGGUGUGUGCCACUUUGCUUGGCUUUAUUUUUCCAAUUUUUUUGUUUGGGGGGAUACCAGGUGCCGCAGUCUGGCUGGGCACAAAAUCACGAGCCACCACACACCUUGUAGAUUCAAACAGCAACUCUUUAUUCUCAAACUGUCACUGGCACUUACACACACACACACACACGUUCUGGGCCCAAUCCACGUUUUGGAUCCCAAAUACUCUCUGAAUCCCAUGAGAACUCAACGGGAACUCAAGGAGCUGGUAAGCCUGAGGCAGCAGGAUACGCCCUAUUCCCAACAGGGUACACCUUAAACCUGGAACCGCCCUAAAUCCAAGGAGAGCCCUAAACCUGGAUCCGCCCUAAAUCCAAGGAGAGCCCUAAACCUGGAUCCGCCCUGGUCCUUGAGCAAGGUCACCUUACAUGCAAUGUCACUGCAAAUGACCUGGGUCAAUAUGGAGAGUCCUUCCUCUAAGCAACAUUGGGUAGGCUGACAAAGAAAUUGCCAUGUGUCAUUCCUACUUGGCAAUGGCUCUCAGCAUCUCCCCCCUUCUGAUUAAUUAAACAACAAGCAAUGUGGCUUAAGGACCGUGCCUGGUAGGUUGUCCAAUUCAACAUGUGGUUCUUACCCGUCAUGGGAAAAACUGACCUCUAGGCGUCAGCCUCCUGUCUUAGGUUGAUACCACUGCAAUUGGAUCAUACCCGUCACUGACUACCGGUCCAGCAUAUAGCCAUACUUGUGGAUAGGCCUAUGCACCAGUGGGGGGGUGAGGUUCUUGCCUCACCUCUGUUGGCCCCCAAAUUUGGCCUUGGUGCCAGUGGGGGGGUGAAGUUCUUGCCUCACCUCUGUUGGCCCCCAAAUUUUAGACCAUUACUAGCAGAAGGGAGGAUACACAAAUGCCACGACACCAAGCCAAUUGACGGCUCCUUUGGAAAAAUUGCAUCACUGGUGACACCAUCAGCAAAGAUAUGCCAGCACUACCACAAUUCGCUGCACCAAAUGAUAGUUCACAAUGCAUACAAGUGAUACAUAGUCCAGGCAAGUUCUGCAAGCAGUUCAAAGCAGAAGAGUCUAUCAAUAUGUCCAUUUCCUCCCAAAGUAAAUCGAGUCCUUGAUUGAGCAUUACUUGUUGAGUUAUAUUCAUUGAUGCAUCAGUUUAUACAGUUUACUGUUAUAGCUAUCAUAGAAGCUGUAGUUUGGCUUUAUCUUAAGUCUUCACCGGCACUGGGAUGGAGAUGGGAAUUCUGGCAAAGAUGCUAAAGAGACAUUAUCCUGAACAGAAUUAUUAAAUAUAAUGAAAAGGAAAGGUGAAAGUAAACAAACAGAUCUGUUAACCUCCUUUAAAAACAAUCCUUAAUAGCUGUUUACCUAAUUUAAAUUAAACCAUUUAAAUCACGUGAAUGAAAAAAAAUAAUUCGGAUCCAUUUUUUCAUGAGCGCUCCUCAUAUAUGAUCUAUAGACAUACGCACAUACAGACAUAACAACACAAAACACAAAUGUGCACACAAAUGUACAACACAUAAGACAAUAGUAAAGGCCUUGUAGCUUUACCUAGGUGAAAUCUCCAUUGCAAUUUUUAAAAAAUCCAGUGAAAAAAUAAAACUGAUCAGAAAAACAUUAACCUAGGUUUGUAUGAGCUCAAAAAAAAAAAAAAUAGAACUUUAUGAUGUGGGAAAAUGCAAUAAUAAAAUAGAUAUUGAAAAAAGCACCCUGGUUAAUCACUGUCGCAGAUGUAAGAAUAGCCAAGCUGGAGCCCUGGAUAUCAGCUGUUAUGGAUUUGAGUCUAAGCAUCUUCUUUUUGGUCUGUAGAAAUUGCUUUAGUUAAUCUCUCUGGAAUCCAAAUCGGCUGCUGUUCUGUCUGUGGAAAAACACAAACAGAACCCCGACUCCAGACAAUCACUGGGUCGGGACCUUUCCAUUGUCCUGUUAGAAUAUCUUUCCAAAGUACCUUAGGCUUAUGUACAUUUUUUGGAUACAUAUGCCUUUCCGCAGCACUAAGUCCUGAUGAAUCCAAAUUUUAAAAGUUUAGAGUAAAAAGCGUUAUUUUAAGUUUAUCUUUGGGGGAUGUAUACCCUUUUCCAAUUCCCUCUUUUUGCUUUAAUAAGUACAUUUUAAUAGUUUGAUGAGCUCUUUCAACUAUGCCUUGUCCCUGUGGAUUGUAUGGGAUUCCUGUUAUAUGAGUAUUACCAAAUGAUGAGCAAAAUUGUUUAAAAGAGGUAGAGGUAUAACCAGGACCAUUAUCUGUUUUUAACUGUUUAGGAACGCCCACAGUGGCAAAAUUUUGUAAGCAAUGAGCUAUAACAUCUUUAGUUUUUUCUCCAGCAUGAAGGGAGCCCAUCAAAAAUCCGGAAGAAGUAUCAACUGUAACAUGUAAAUAUUUUAAUUUUCCAAAUUCUGGCAAGUGUGUGACGUCCAUCUGCCAAAUAUGGUUAGGUAUCAGUCCUCUAGGAUUGACUCCAAGAUUAACUUGUGGUAAAAAGGUCACACAAUUUUGACAUUGUUUUAUUAUAUGUCUGGCUUGUUCCUUACUUAUUUUAAAACGCUUUUGUAAAGUAUUAGCAUUAACAUGGAAUCUUUUAUGAAAAUUUGUAGCCUCUUCUAGUGUAGAGAAAAUAUGUAUGUCAUGUGUAGUUUUAUCUGCUAAAUCAUUGCCCAAACUAAGGGCUCCAGGCAAUCCUGUAUGUGCCCUGAUAUGUCCUAUAAAGAAUGGAUCUUUUCUGUCCCAGAUUAGACUUUGUAUAGUGGAAAACAAAGAGAAAACAGUAGAGGAAGGGGAAAUCCUACCAGCAUCUUCAAGGGAUACAACAGCAUUAACUAUAUAUUGACUAUCAGAAAAUAAAUUAAAUACAGAAUCUUUAAACAUCACAAAAGCUUGUAAAACUGCAUUAAGCUCUACCUUUUGAGCUGAUUGUUUGGGUACUAAAAAUGUAAAAGUUUGAUCAGGGGUAACUACUGCUGCUGUACCAUUAUUAGACCCAUCAGUGAAUAUAUUUGGAGCAUUCAUGAUAGGUGUUUUUCUUGUCAUUUUAGGAAAAACUACAGGAUGCUUAGACCAAAAAGACAAUAAAGAAUUAGAUGGUAAAUGAUUAUCAAAUGAAAUAUUAGAUUUACACAUGAUUAUUGCCCAAGUAUUUAACUCAUUAGCUAACUCAUGAAUUUGAUCCAUAGUAUAUGGAGUAAUAAUUUUAUUGGGAGAAAUUCCAAACACUCCCUUUGCUGCUUUUAUUCCUUUGAGUAUUAAUUGUCCUACAGCCUCAGGAUACCUAGUAAGAAUAGUGUUAGGAGAAUAAGAUAAAUGUAUCCACAAUAAUGGACCUUCUUGCCAAAAUACUCCUGUAGGAAUAUUUCUUGUUGGUAGUACAAUAAAUAAUAAAGGCAAACUUAUAUCAAUUCUAUCCAAAUGCAUAUUUUCCAUAUGUGUUUCAAUAAUUUUUAAUGCCUUUCUUGCUUUAGGAGUUAACAUUCGGGGUGAAUUUGGAUCUGAUGGACCUUUUAGAAUAUCAAAUAAAGGUCCCAACUCUCCUGCUGGUAUGCCUAGAUAAGACUUUAUCCAAUUUAUGUCUCCCAAUAACUUUUGAAUGUUGUUAAGUGAUUUGAGUUGAUCUACUUGUAUUUGAAUUUUUGAUGGACGGACCAUGGUUGAGGAUAAUAGAACUCCUAAAUAAUUAAUUGGAAAAUUUAAUUGUACUUUAUCUAUUCCUAUCUCUAGAUUAUAAUUUUUUAAUAAGUUUGUAAGUGUGGCAUAACAUUCCAGCAAUGUGUUUUUAUCUUUAUGUGCUAAUAAUACAUCAUCCAUAUAGUGAAA